rnacentral:rRNA from 1 species
CGGAUCGGAGUCUGCAACCCGACUCUGUGAAGCUGGAUUCGCUAGUAAUCGCGCAUCAGCCAUGGCGCGGUGAAUACGUCCCCGGGCCUUGUACACACCGCCCGUCAAGCCAUGGGAGCCGAGGGCGCUUGAAGUGCGUCGCCGCAAGGCGCGCCCUAGAGCGAAAUCGGUGACUGGGGCUAAGUCGUAACAAGGUAUC